CUCUCUCUACGGACUGUCUGAUCGAUCGGAAGCUUUGAGACGAGCAUCGCUUUAUUCCUCGCUUUCGGGAUAUUUCUUCACAGUUUCUUUUGACUUCCCCUAUUACCCAAAACGUCCUGCUGUUUAAAUCGUGUGGAAUUUAAUCCCCGGCUUCACAUUUAUUAUCCGCACAAAAGUUGAUAAGGAAAGCUAGUUAGCCUCCUAGCUAACUCUUAGCUAGCCUCAAAGCUAACUAGCGGUGGUCGGAGAACGUUUUUGCAGACAGUUUUUUAAGGGGGGGGGCAUCUUUUUUUUGUCAGUGCACUUGUACCUAGUCGUGGAGUUAUCAUCCUGACAUUUGAAGAGUAUUUGUGGGGAGGUUUAGAGCUGGUAAGCCGGUUGCUUCCUAGCUAGCGUGCUCGAUAUAGCCUGCUAGCUUUAAUACCCUGCGUAUUUAGCCUGGAAGCUAACUGAAGGCCGCAGUCCACCAUCAGCUGCUACUACUUCCAUCAGUGUUUGCAUUGCCGUGCAGAGUUGACAGCUUACUUGGUGACGCAGAGACUUCUCCCUGAGGAGCCAAGAAGCAGACGGCUCAUGACUUCUGACCAGGACACGAAAGUUGUAGCUGAACCACAGGUGCAGCAAGUCCAAGAGGCAAAAGAGAACUCUCAUUUGGAAUCCCCCAAGGUUUCAGACCUCAACCCCAAUGCGAAAGCA